UUGUACUUAAGCCCAAUUUAAAAAAAAAUCCUUCAUUUUCUUUCUUUUUCAGAAGCAGACAGCAGCCCUCCCCCUCCAUUUCUUUUCUCUGCUAGGGUUUCUUAACCCCUCAUCACAGCCGUCGUCACGACGCCACCGUAGACGGUGGUUGAGAUCACGUGAAAGUGGGGUUCUUUAACCCCUGUUUAUAGCGCCCGAAGGCCAUGUCUCAUCAGCCCGAAAAGACGAAAAGGGAGGGCUCUUGACCCCUUUUGGGAUCGAUGACGACGGAAGAGAGCUCUCCGACGACGCAAUCACGGUGGUCUCCGGUGAGCCCUUUUCUUCUUUUUAUUAUUUAUCAUUUUUGUAUAUACAUAUAUAAAUAAAAUAAAAAUAAAAAUAAAACAAUAAAAAAUAAAGCAAAAUAAACAAGAACUUGAAACUAAAGUAAAAACCUUUGAAGCUUUGUUUUUCUGUUUUUUUAUUCUUCUCCGAAAAAAAUCCUCCCUUUUACAUUGGUUUCUCUUCGGCUUUAUAGCCUAUUACAAUAUUAGAAAAUAUUGUCUCUGGUACUGUUCAAUCACUGUUCUAUAUUGUUUCUGCCUCUGUUCUGUAUUGUUUUGCUUCUGUUUCGCCUCUGUCUCUUUGCUAUUUCGGUCUUCUUUGCAAGUUCGGCGUUCGGUCAAUGAAGAAAGGAGCUUGCCAUUUUGGUGCAAGUAGUGCCAGGGUCGAGCCUUGGGCGGUGUGCGAGCCAAGGGCGCACAUGGAGGCUGCGGCGCCAGAAGAGGAUUAGGGUUGCUGAGUUUUCUUAAAAUUUUUGGGUCAUGAGCUCUAGGGUUUUCUGUGUAGUAGGUCAUUUGGGCUUUGUUAUUUUAAGUCAUGUAUUUGGAUAGUAUUAUUAUUAUUAUUUUAUCUUGGACUGUUAUUUGGUUGUAUAAUUUAGGCAUGAGCCGGGGAAAAUAGGCCUGUUACAAAAAAUAAUUGCAACUCCAAUUUAAAAAUUAUUUGCUGAUAGGAAACUAAUCAUUAACAACAUUUUAACUAUUUAAAUUCACAGUCCUAAGUGUUGUUCUAACUUAUUAAACCGUACAAUUAAAAUAAUUUUUUAAUUAAAACAAUUAACAUAAUAUACAUAGACAAUCAUUAAGGACAAAAUGAUCUCUUUUUUUUUUAUUUUUUUACCGUAAACGAUUUGUAAUUCAAUAUUGUACUCCAAUUCGAAUACAAAAUCCUUUAUUAUUAUUUCGACUCAUCCAAAAGGAAAUGACCUAUUCGUAAGUUUGUCACCUGAACCUUCAUGAAGGC
rnacentral:lncRNA from 1 species